rnacentral:rRNA from 1 species
AUCUGGUUGAUCCUGCCAGGUCUUACGGUCCAUGUCUAAGCGCCUGUGAUGAAACCGCGAAUGGCUCUAAUCGUAUGGUUCCUUAGAUCGUACAAUCCCUUGGAUAACUGUUUUCUCUAAUACAUGAAGCACGGCUCUGACCUCGCCCGGAAAGAGCGCGUUUAUUAGAUCAAACCAGUCGGGUUCGCAAGGGCCGUCGGUUGAAAUGAGACUGGAUAACUUUGUGCUGAAAAAACCUCGCGCCGGCGACGUAUGUUCAAAUGUGCCUAUCAGCUUUCGAUGGUGCAAUUAUGCCUACCAUGGUUUGUAACGGGUAUAAAUCGAGGGAUUCCGGUCGGCAUGCUACCACAUCAUGCAACCAGGCGCGAUUCCUGUUCUAGGUUUGACGCUGGACUCUUUCGGAGGCUCGUAAUUGGAAUAGUACUUUAAACCCGCUAACGAGGAUCUAUUGGAGGGCAAAUCUGGUGCCAGCAGCCGCGGUAAUUCAACUCCAAUAGCGUAUAUUAAAAGUUGUUAGUUAAAAAAGCUCAUGGUUGGAAGGUCAGGCUUUUGGAUCGUUACUGCUUUCGUCCUGACCUACCUCAGUUUUCGCCCUUGGUGCUCUUGACUGAAGUGUCUCGGGUGGCCGGAACGUUUGCUGAAAAAAUUAGGGUGUUCAAAGCAGGCAAUAUCGCCUGAAUAAUGGUGCAUGGAAUAAUGGAAUAGGACCUCGGUUCUAUUUGCUGGUUUUCGGGCUCGAGGUAAUGAUUAAGAGGACUGACGGGGCAUUCGUAUUACGGUGUUAGGGGUGAAAAUUCUUGGAUCGCCGUAAGACGAACUACUGCAACAUUGCCAAAUGUUUUCAUUAGUCAGAACGAAAGUCAGAGGGUUCGAAGACGAUCAGAUACCGUCAGUUCUGACCAUAAACGAUGCCAACUAGCGAUCCGCGGAGUUACUUCAAUGACUCGGGCACCCCAGGAAACCAAAGUUUUGGGUUCCGGGAAGUAUGGUGCAAAACCUGAAACUUAAAGGAAUUGACGGAAGGGCACCACCAGGGUGGAGCCUGCGGCUUAAUUUGACUCAACUUUGGAAAACUCACCCGGCCCGGACACUGUAAGGAUUGACAGAUUGAGAGCUCUUUCUUGAUUCGGUGGGUGGUGGUGCAUAGCCGAUUCUUAGUUGGUGGAGCAAUUGUCUGGUUAGCAAUUCCGAUAACGGAACGAGACUCUAGCCUACUAAAUAGUUCGCCGAUCCCCAUUUGCGUCGGCGCAGCUUAACUAGAGGACAAGUGGCGUUUAACCACACGAGAUUGGUAAUAACAGGUCUGUGAUGCCCUUAGAUGUUCGGGGGCCGCACGCGCUCUACUGAAGGAAUCAGCGUGUCUCUGCGCCCUGGAAAGGUCAGGUAACCCGUUGAACCUCCUUCGUGCUGGGGUUGACGCGUAAUUCUAUGAACGAGGAAUUCCCCAGUAAGCGCGAGUCAUAAGCUCGCGUUGAUUACGUCUGCCCUUUAUUACACCGCCCGUCGCUACUGCCGAUUGGGCACGUUUUAGUGAGACGCCUCAGUUGGACCCGGAAAUGGUUGGCAACAACCGGUGCCGAAAAGACGCGCCAAGCGAACGCCUGAAAGAGUAAAGAAGUCGCCAAGGUUUCCGUGAUGAACCUGCGGAAGGAUCAUU